rnacentral:rRNA from 1 species
CCUACGGGUGGCAGCAGUGAGGAAUAUUGGUCAAUGGACGAGAGUCUGAACCAGCCAAGUCGCGUGAAGGAUGACUGCCCUAUGGGUUGUAAACUUCUUUUAUAUGGGAAUAAACUGUUCCACGUGUGGGCUUUUGUAUGUACCAUACGAAUAAGGAUCGGCUAACUCCGUGCCAGCAGCCGCGGUAAUACGGAGGAUCCGAGCGUUAUCCGGAUUUAUUGGGUUUAAAGGGAGCGUAGGUGGAUUGUUAAGUCAGUUGUGAAAGGUUGCGGCUCAACCGUAAAAUUGCCGUUGAGACUGGCAGUCUUGAGUACAGUAGAGGUGGGCGGAAUGCGUGGUGUAGCGGUGAAAUGCUUAGAUAUCACGCAGAACUCCGAUUGCGAAGGCAGCUCACUGGACUGCAACUGACACUGAGGCACGAAAGUGUGGGUAUCAAACAGGAUUAGAUACCCGGGUAGUC